UUCGUUAUGCUACUCCAUAAUGCUGCAUAUUUGUCAUGAUGCAGUUUCAUUUUAAAACGGAGUUUUCCUGUCUACUUUAAGGUGCAAAGAUUGGUGCUGGCAGUUUUGCCAAUUUCUGCCAGGUUUAUGUGUGUUGCAUCUAUAAUUUUCCCUUUUCAGUAGUAUUGGAGAGUGAAGACUUUAUUAAAGGACGGGAACCUGAAGGAUCGGAAUAAAGUUGGAGUUGUUCGGCGGCUUUAUAAAGGAUCGACCUUAUUGAGGAUUCGUUUCAGAAAUGGUGACCUGUAUCUGAGAUAACUCCUGCAGGAGCAGGGAAGUUUGAGCAGUGUUCACUCACCAGUGAAAGAUGUCGUCUGAUCUGUGAGUCGUCCAGCAGCUUGUUUUCCUUUCCUCCAGAUUCCAGCAUCUCCAAUCUCAUGUCUCCAUGACAACACUGGCUCUCUUAAAGAACAAACAAGUUCAUCCCCGCAUCCUGGCUUUUCCCCAAUGCACUAUUAUUUCUACUAUUUAAGACAUAUUUUCCUUGCGUGCAAUGUAGAAACCGUUCAUGAGACUGGUUCCUGAGAUGAACCUAUUGUCCAGUGAGGAAGAGUCGUGCUGUACACUCUUUGGAGUUUAGAAGAAUAAACGGAAAAUGAAGAAAUACAAUUGGAUUUUACAAAAUAGAAGUCUACAUAAACAGACAAAGA